GAUGAACGCUGGCGGCGUGCCUAAUGCAUGCAAGUCGAGCGAACGGACGAGAAGCUUGCUUCUCUGAUGUUAGCGGUGGACGGGUGAGUAACACGUGGAUAACCUACCUAUAAGACUGGGAUAACUUCGGGAAACCGGAGCUAAUACCGGAUAAUAUUUUGAACCGCAUGGUUCAAAAGUGAAAGACGGUCUUGCUGUCACUUAUAGAUGGAUCCGCGCUGCAUUAGCUAGUUGGUAAGGUAACGGCUUACCAAGGCAACGAUGCAUAGCCGACCUGAGAGGGUGAUCGGCCACACUGGAACUGAGACACGGUCCAGACUCCUACGGGAGGCAGCAGUAGGGAAUCUUCCGCAAUGGGCGAAAGCCUGACGGAGCAACGCCGCGUGAGUGAUGAAGGUCUUCGGAUCGUAAAACUCUGUUAUUAGGGAAGAACAUAUGUGUAAGUAACUGUGCACAUCUUGACGGUACCUAAUCAGAAAGCCACGGCUAACUACGUG
rnacentral:rRNA from 1 species